rnacentral:rRNA from 1 species
GACGAACGCUGGCGGCGUGCUUAACACAUGCAAGUCGAACGGAAAGGCCCUGCUUUUGUGGGGUGCUCGAGUGGCGAACGGGUGAGUAACACGUGAGUAACCUGCCCUUGACUUUGGGAUAACUUCAGGAAACUGGGGCUAAUACCGGAUAGGAGCUCCUGCUGCAUGGUGGGGGUUAGAAAGUUUCGGCGGUUGGGGAUGGACUCGCGGCUUAUCAGCUUGUUGGUGGGGUAGUGGCUUACCAAGGCUUUGACGGGUAGCCGGCCUGAGAGGGUGACCGGCCACAUUGGGACUGAGAUACGGCCCAGACUCCUACGGGAGGCAGCAGUGGGGAAUAUUGCACAAUGGGCGGAAGCCUGAUGCAGCAACGCCGCGUGCGGGAUGACGGCCUUCGGGUUGUAAACCGCUUUCGCCUGUGACGAAGCGUGAGUGACGGUAAUGGGUAAAGAAGCACCGGCUAACUACGUGCCAGCAGCCGCGGUGAUACGUAGGGUGCGAGCGUUGUCCGGAUUUAUUGGGCGUAAAGGGCUCGUAGGUGGUUGAUCGCGUCGGAAGUGCAAUCUUGGGGCUUAACCCUGAGCGUGCUUUCGAUACGGGUUGACUUGAGGAAGGUAGGGGAGAAUGGAAUUCCUGGUGGAGCGGUGGAAUGCGCAGAUAUCAGGAGGAACACCAGUGGCGAAGGCGGUUCUCUGGGCCUUUCCUGACGCUGAGGAGCGAAAGCGUGGGGAGCGAACAGGCUUAGAUACCCUGGUAGUCCACGCUGUAAACGGUGGGUACUAGGUGUGGGGUCCAUUCCACGGGUUCCGUGCCGUAGCUAACGCUUUAAGUACCCCGCCUGGGGAGUACGGCCGCAAGGCUAAAACUCAAAGGAAUUGACGGGGCCCCGCACAAGCGGCGGAGCAUGCGGAUUAAUUCGAUGCAACGCGUAGAACCUUACCUGGGUUUGACAUGGAUCGGGAGUGCUCAGAGAUGGGUGUGCCUCUUUUGGGGUCGGUUCACAGGUGGUGCAUGGCUGUCGUCAGCUCGUGUCGUGAGAUGUUGGGUUAAGUCCCGCAACGAGCGCAACCCUUGUUCACUGUUGCCAGCACGUUAUGGUGGGGACUCAGUGGAGACCGCCGGGGUCAACUCGGAGGAAGGUGGGGAUGACGUCAAGUCAUCAUGCCCCUUAUGUCCAGGGCUUCACGCAUGCUACAAUGGCUGGUACAGAGAGUGGCGAGCCUGUGAGGGUGAGCGAAUCUCGGAAAGCCGGUCUCAGUUCGGAUUGGGGUCUGCAACUCGACCUCAUGAAGUCGGAGUCGCUAGUAAUCGCAGAUCAGCAACGCUGCGGUGAAUACGUUCCCGGG